UCUAAUUCCACCUCGUCAACAGAUGGAACUCCAUAGCAACUUCAAAUGUCUACCUCCUUAGAUCUGCUCAAGACUAACAGUAAAAUCAGCAUGAAUCAAAGCUCAUUAAAGACCUUGUCUGGAAUCUGGUAUUGAAGCCGCGCUUGAUGAGUUGCCGCCUUGAACUUUCCCACUGAUCAAUGCCGGCGCUGCCGCUGCAUGAAAGAAUAGCUUUCCCAAGGAGCCGCUGUCACACGGGAAACCAGCUACCCAGCAAGCUUUUAAAAAAUGGGCCAGAGGCUUGUAGGCUUGAGCUUCGGAACAUGUUUCCACCCCCACCCCAAAAGAAAUGGCAAAUGGUGACUGACCGUUUGAAAAUUGGAAUGUUACAAGAGCAAGAGGUAAGGUCAAAAGCAGAAAUCCUCCUUUCUGUGAAAUGAUCAGACACCACGGGAUGAAAACAUGCAGGGAGAGGAAGGCUAAUAUGAAGUGAGAGGACAGGAAUCAUAUUUCUUCUCAGCAGGGUGACAAAUAAAAAGUUGCCUUUA